AAAAUAGUGUUGCCCAAAUUCAGUCUUGGUCUUGCAGUCUUGGUCUUGUUCUUGCGUUUUUGCAAGACCAAGACCAAGAACAAGACCGCGUAUUUUUAGCAAGACCAAGACCAAGACUGACCGUGCAAGACUUGAGCAAGAACAAGACAUAGCCUGCAAGACUCUUGCGUCUUGCAGCUAGGACUUCGCGCUAUUUCACUGAGUACGCUUAGGAAUUCUAUGAGACGCAAAAAACUGUAUCAAAGAAUAUGAAAAACUGGACCUAUGCGCA